ensembl:miRNA Mir181b-2 microRNA 181b-2
UUGAUGGCUGCACUCAACAUUCAUUGCUGUCGGUGGGUUUGAAUGUCAACCAACUCAUUGAUCAAUGAAUGCAAACUGCGGGCCAAAAAAAAAAA